AAUUUCAAACCCCGAAACUCUAUGAGCUGUAAUUUAUUUGUUCAGAACUCACUAGAUAGUGUUGCAAUACUACUAGAAAAAUAAACUACAGAGGCUACAUACCUACCGCAUAAAGUAAUAGCUGGUUUUUCACAAACCCAGUCUAAGCUGUAUAAAUUGAACACUUAAAAUAAACAAACAUUCAAUUAUUCAACAUAACUAAGGAUAAGCUUAGUUAAUCCCCUUAUUCUAAAAAAUAAUAAACAAAAGUAGGCCUAAAACCAGCCAACUCAAAAUUCGUUAUAGUACAAAAAAAAUAAAAAUUUAAAACAAAAUAAAUUAAAGUGAAAUAAUGUUUAAAACUAUAGAACAUAAAACUAUGCAAAGACUAGUAUUUAUCAAAAAUCCCACACAUAAUCUUUCAUCAUAUACAUACAGAAGGAACUCGGCAAACACUUGCUUCGACUGUUUAACAAAAACAUAGCCUGUUGUCAACAAAACAUAAUAGGUAACCCCUGCCCAGUGAAAACUUAAACGGCCGCGGUAUCCUGACCGUGCAAAGGUAGCAUAAUCACUUGCCUUUUAAUUGAAGGCUGGAAUGAAUGGACAAACGAAAGCAAAACUGUCUCCUCUAUAUACAUAAAAACUUAUCUUCAGGUGAAGAAGCCUGAAUACAUAUAAAAGACAAGAAGACCCUGUCGAGCUUUAGCCGGAAUAAAUAAAAAUAUCAAAAACAUAUUAAUUUAAUAACGGCUUUUGUUGGGGCGACAAAGGAAUAAAUCAAUCUUCCUAUAAAACACAGAUAAUUAAUCACAUAAAUGACCCAGUUUCUGAUCAAUAGAAAUAGCUACCGCAGGGAUAACAGACUAAUCCUCCUCAAGAGUCCAUAUCUACAGGAGGGCUUGGCACCUCGAUGUUGGCUUAAGAAUUCUUUUAGAUGCAG
rnacentral:rRNA from 1 species